rnacentral:rRNA from 1 species
AAUGAACGUUGGCGGCGUGGAUUAGGCAUGCAAGUCGAGCGAGAACCCGCAAGGGGGACAGCGGCAAACGGGGUAGUAACGGGUAGGUGACGUACCCUCGGGUCGGGGAUAGCCACGGGAAACUGUGGGUAAUACCCGAUAACCUCCUGAGGCGUGAUAGCUUCAGGAGCAAAGGUGUGAUUCCACCGGAGGAGCGGCCUGCCUCGUAUUAGCUGGUUGGUGAGGUAACGGCUCACCAAGGCGACGAUGCGUAGGGGGUGUGAGAGCAUGACCCCCACCACUGGGACUGAGAUACUGCCCAGACACCUACGGGUGGCUGCAGUCGAGAAUCUUCGGCAAUGGGCGCAAGCCUGACCGAGCGACGCCGCGUGUGGGAUGAAGGCCCUUGGGUUGUAAACCACUGUCAGAGGGGAUGAAGUGCCAGAGGGCAAUCUCUCUGGUUUGACAUAGCCUCAGAGGAAGCACGGGCUAAGUUCGUGC